GGAGGCGUGGCAGAGUGGUUGAAUGCACCGGUCUUGAAAACCGGCAGGGGUUCGUGCCCCUCGUGAGUUCGAAUCUCACCGCCUCCGCCA
rnacentral:tRNA from 1 species